rnacentral:sRNA from 1 species
GGGAAGGCCAGCCGAUGGGCGACGGCCGCGGUCUUGAAAACCGUUGGGGAUGAAAUAAUCCUGUGUGGGUUCGACUCCCACCCUUUCCG